UUGUGGCAUCUGGCGCUGACACGACCAACUCUCUCUGUCUGUCCCCAACAGUUUAUUUAUUUCGCAAGAAUUCCGUGGAGGAAACAUUUUUUUCCAUGUUUGAAGUCUUGCUUGGUGAUGGAAUGAGUCAUUUUCUGAAGCAAUGAGAUGGAAGGAACCUUCAUAGCAUCCAACAAACAAGGAUUUCUAUGAGGCAUUGUGUUUUCCACAUUGCAGACCUCUGUAUCACCAACUUAAAUGAGCCUCCACCUGUCCACCAUGAUCUCCCCCAAACUUAAUCCACACCUCUUCUUCAGGAAUUGCCCCAUCGUGAGUUGUGAGAAAUCCAUUCCUGUGGAAAGAUGAUGGAACAUGAACAUAUGGUCUGUGACUCUGCUAUGGACCUAGUGAAUCACUGUUGACUGUCCAUGGUUCAAGUGAGGAUUGGCAAACCUGGUCAUUUCUUGAUUACCUACAGAAUGCAAUUGCAACAUAUGCAAAAUCUUAUGCAGGAAUGGGGCUAUAGCAGUGAUGGGACACUACCUUUGACUGUGAAGAUCAGACGAUGCAAUUCCCGUUGGUCAGCCCCCCCCCCCCCCCCCCACCCCAAGGAGCCAUGCACUGCCAGAGAUCUUGAGCCAGGUCUUCAGUGGUUAUCCAUUGAUAAGAAGAACGGAGAUAAUAAAGACAGUGAGGUCAGUAUGACAUUAAUUCUCAUUGAAAAUUACCUAUUCAUCUGUCUGUACUGUGGACCAAUUAAGGUGCCCAUCAUUCAUCAUGGCCAAUGUCUUUGCUGCAUCUUGUUAUGUAAAUCUCUUUGAAUGACUAUUAAACAAGAAGAAGCUUUCUUCACAUGUAUAAGCUCUAAAGCAUAUAUACAUAACAAUUUUAAUUUAAUAUUUUGAUGGCCAUUCAUUAGAAGA